rnacentral:rRNA from 2 species
AGACCCGAAACCCGGUGAUCUAGCCAUGGGCAGGUUGAAGGUUGGGUAACACUAACUGGAGGACCGAACCGACUAAUGUUGAAAAAUUAGCGGAUGACCUGUGGCUGGGGGUGAAAGGCCAAUCAAACCGGGAGAUAGCUGGUUCUCCCCGAAAGCUAUUUAGGUAGCGCCUCGUGAAUUCAUCUCCGGGGGUAGAGCACUGUUUCGGCUAGGGGGCCAUCCCGGCUUACCAACCCGAUGCAAACUGCGAAUACCGGAGAAUGUUAUCACGGGAGACACACGGCGGGUGCUAACGUCCGUCGUGAAGA